UGAACUUCUGUGCCUUUAACUAUCUUCUCCCACAUCAUCACUUACUGAAGACAUGAACGAGCUGAAUGUGCUGAUGAGCCUAAAGCCUGAAAGCUUAUUGAUGAACCUGCUGAUGAAUGAAGGAUGGUGGAUAGUGUGGGCUUGGGAUGCAGACGCACGCCGUCCAAUGAAUUAAACAUCAGAGCCGACACCCUGAAAGCCUCACCCAGAGAGUGUCACACCAAAGCUGGGUUAGGGGAUAUCUGCUCGUUUCCCAGGCCAAGUGGAAGCUGUCCAGCAGGGAACUGGUCCACUUUCUCCAGUCUCCAGAUGCCACUAUGGAUGCUGGAGUGCUGUAAGCAUGCUCAUUAUAGCCUGCACUGACCAUGAAUCACCCACCUCAGCUCUCCAUCUUUUUCUCUCUCUCUCUCUCUCUUCAUCUCUCUUUCUCUCCAUCUCUCUUUCUCCUCUUCACACCCCUUCUCUGACCAGUAACGAAGAGCAGCUGCUCAUGCUCAUAGUGUAUUAUUAGUCUAAACACACACACACACACACUGCAUGCAGUACUGGUCUGCUAGCACAGUAACUGGCUGUGUGGAUUUCCCUGCUGGAGGUAGAGGUGAGUAAUGAGGGUUUGGCUGUGAGGAGCUGGGGUGAGGCUGGCCUGGACUUGGCAGCUUUGGUUCACUGAAUCCUUUUCUGUUAUUCCAGCUCUGGUUAUCUUCUGAGGUGAUGCUGGAACCAGGAAAAGAGUGAAACUCUGCAUAGCAAACAGGAGCACCAAAGAUAAAGCACUGGCUCAUUGACAACAAGGCUGUGGGUUCCAUACACGGGUUUGGCGAGCCACCACUGCUGCCCUUGAGCAAGACCCUCAACCCUCAAGCCUGAGUGGGUUCAGGUUCAAGAAUGGUCUGUGAUGUAAGCGUCUGUCUAGAUUUAUUUUAUAUAAAGCUAUGGAGUAAUAAUCACAGUAUAGCAAAGUAACAAAUCUAAAUGUUUUAAAGAAAAGUUGCACAAGUUAGAAUGUUAUAAUCAUGCAGCACUGUGGCAAAAUGUUUUAAACAACCGUAUGAGCACCUCUACUUGUCCGCAUUACACACUUGAUUUGCAGUGCAUAGCCUUAUUGCUGCUUUUCUGUGUUCUGUGAGUAGGCUAUAUGCUAAAUAUUAAAAUAUUAGUUUAUUCAGAAAGUGUUUUAUAUUCUUAAACCUUGUUAAUUAUACUAGAGUAGAGGUAAGUCAUUGUAAAUUAUGUUAUUGUUCUUGGUCUAUUUCAGUUGAAUGAUUGUGCAGUGUAUAGCCAUAUUACAGUUUUAUUCUUAAACCAUGUUAAUUAUAUUAGAUUAGACUAAAGUCAUUCAGACAUCAUUCUUGUAGCCUAAUUUACCGAUGUUGAGGCCUGUGGAUCAUUGUUCACAUUGUUCGUGAUCUGUUUUUAAUAAACAUUUUUCAUAAAUAAUAGGUAAU
rnacentral:lncRNA from 1 species